rnacentral:rRNA from 1 species
AGUGAACGCUGGCGGUAGGCCUAACACAUGCAAGUCGAACGGCAGCACAGUAAGAGCUUGCUCUUACGGGUGGCGAGUGGCGGACGGGUGAGGAAUACAUCGGAAUCUACUUUUUCGUGGGGGAUAACGUAGGGAAACUUACGCUAAUACCGCAUACGACCUACGGGUGAAAGCAGGGGAUCUUCGGACCUUGCGCGAUUGAAUGAGCCGAUGUCGGAUUAGCUAGUUGGCGGGGUAAAGGCCCACCAAGGCGACGAUCCGUAGCUGGUCUGAGGGGAUGGACCGCCCCAAUGGGAACGGAGACACGUCCCAGCCCCCCACGGGAGGCCGCAGGGGGAAAUUUUGGAAAGGGGGCCCAACCCUGACCCAGCCAACCCGCGGGGGUAAAGAAGGCCUUUGGGUUGUAAAGCCCUUUUUUUGGGAAAAAAAAGCAGCAGGUUAAUCCCCCGCUGUUCGGACGGUACCCAAAAAAUAAGCCCCGGCUAACUUCGU